rnacentral:lncRNA from 1 species
UCCUGAAGGCGAAUAGCCUCCACAGUAACUUUUAAGUGGCUCUUCCUCAGCCGGUGGAGUUCAUCUUCUAGCUUCUUAGAGUUUUUCAUCAAUCGAUGAACUUCCCUUUGAAGGUCUCAUAUCAUCGACUUCAUUGGAAUACCCUCCGAUAGGGGAAGAGCUUCGACAGGACACUGUCGUUGGAAGACGAGAGCAUCAU